ensembl:lncRNA
UCUCUCUCUCUCUCUCGUGCUCUCUCUCUCUCUCUCUCUUUCCUUGACUCUCCCUUGUGCCCCAUAAAUAGUGCAGUCGUAAGCUAGUGAAUAAGUGAUGCUUUGCCCUGAUCAGCACAGCUAGGCCCACUCCGCCAGAUCCUAGCUCUUUGCUGGAAACUUCAGAGACUUUCUUCACACUGUGCAUGUGUACAUAUGUGUGUGUGAGGGAGGGAGAGUAUUUUCGUUCAGCUGUUGUUUUGUUUCUCUAGCUAUCCUUCCCGACACAUUCCAUCCUGCCCCACUGUUGGCCCCUCCGUGGCCGCUGCUGUCAUCCGCUGACAACCUGCCUCAUAUUUACAUACUGCUGCCUAUACGGCAGCCCUCCAGGGGGCGCUUCAAUUCCCCCACGACCAGACAAGCACCCUCGUGUGUGUGUGUGUUGUGUGGUGUGUGUGGUGUGUGUGUUGGUUGGGAAUGGUCUUUGCGCUUGUUUGUUGAUGCCUGCUCCCUCCCCUUGACAACCUGAGAGUGUUGAAUAUUUGAGGCCCGUGAGUUCUCUCCCAAUGAAAAGCAGAGUGAUGUAACAAUGUUUUGUGUGUGUGUGUGUGUGUGUGUGUGUGUGUGUGUGUGUGUUCGCAAAUGCCAGUAUACACAAUGUGUGUAUAUGGUGCGUUUAUUAAAAACACUGUUGGAACUACUAGUAUUAUUUGCAGUUUAAAUACAUUGCAGUUACUAGGUUUAAGUAUCUGCAAAUAUCUUUACAACUUCUUCGAAUCCAUUUUAUAUCACUUGAUGUCCAGUAGAAAUCAACAACAUGAAUUCUUGCAGAAACGGUGCCAUAAUCGUCAUGCAGGUUUUGGGAUCGGUUACAGUUGUAAUGUAGGUGGGAACUGACUGUUUUUAAAGACCGCACAGAUAACAUGACAAUCAUUUCUGGCGCUGUGGAAGUCCUGAUCUGUACUGUAGCCUUAACUGUGGCCUCUGAAACAUGCACUAACAUUCAGAAACACUGAAACCAAGUAAGUACGGUGCAGAGCGUAUCUACUAUUAAUACAGUGUGCCAUUGCCUCAGAUUUGAAGUCAGAAUAUCAAGCGGAAGCAAAGACAGUAGCUAGACAUGACUUAUAUUAUUUACCACAGUGAGGUGUGUGUGUGUGUGUGUAGUCAUGGAUUACAUUAAGAGGUAGAUGACUUCAUUAUUCAGUUCGUACAGGAUUUCGCCAAGUUUGUGAUUUGUCGCAGCCAAAAAUGCUUGAUUUCGCCGCGACUUAAUUAUUAUUUUUUUUUAAGUGAUGCAACUCUUCUUGUGCUUUUUUUUUGUGUGGAAAACUACUUGAAUUGGCAAAAUUGCAGUUGCACGGAAUAGUCUUGCACGGUCUUUCGCAGUGAUGUUUGUUGGUAACUUAGACCUUUUAGCUGUAUUUAUAUUUGAUGCCUCUGAAUGGAAGAGGGGCUUUGGCUGAAUGUCCGUUGCGAUGAUGCUACAUGAUGCGUCUUGGCCCAAAUCUAUGUAAAAUCCUUGAUCAUUUAGAACAAUUGCAAGCUCCUGUCAAUACCGCAGAGUUUGCUUGAUUUUGCGUUCAUUCCUGUGAUCGCACAACUGCAAAAUCUUGGAGGGGCUGAAUAUUAUAUGUUCGCAUAUGUUAUUAUACAGAGUUCUCAAUAGCGAUAGAACAUGAUUAAAGCGUAUAUCCAUUUCCACCCUUGGAGCGAUAUUUGGUGAAACCUUUUCAGAGUUUUCAGUAUUCCUUAUUUUUCAGUUUUAUUCUAAUUCCUUUCCAAUGAAGGUACACGAUACGGUAAAUCCUUCAAACUAUCCAAAUGAGCAUGCUCUUGAAUUUUCAAAUAUAGAUCCCUAGCAAUUCAUUGCAAGGCGUUCGAUUUGUACAAUUUACUAGUUUUAAAUGAAAGCUUUUCUUUAUAAAGAAACACAGUAUGUAUUAAAUAGAUAUUAUUAUCCCCAUUAUGCCAUGCUAUGACUUACCUUAACCUGGAGUUAUAGUUAUAGUGUGGCUCGGCACUGCUUGCUAAUUAUACAUAGCAAAGAAAGAGAUCCAGUCCUUUUAGCCCAACCCCCUCCCUAGUUUAAGAGAAAACAACACAGAUAACAGAUUAUAUGUUACUCAGAAUCUUGCUUUUAAGGGGCUCAUGAACAAUACGAGUUGGUGAGAUGAAACCUGUUUCUGUUCUCUGGAUAAAAGUACUCGGUAUUAAUUUCCUCUGUCAAGUAUUCAAGCUGUCAAAAUGACCAUGAUGCCUGUCUCUAGUUCAUGUUGCAUGAGCAGAUUUAGCUUACAUUUUAUAUUAUUUAGGUUUAUGAUCACUGUAAAUAUUGUUGGGUUUAUGUUGCUGACAUACACUUGUAUUUUGUGUGUGUGUGUGUGUGUGUGUGUGUGUGUGCGCGUGUGGCUGUCUGCCCAUGUCCCAGCUGCCCUAGCUUGUGGAAUGGCACAGUGUUUUAUUAGAAUGGGGAUCUGGGGGGCUCUCUUCAGACCCCUAACCCCAACACACACACACACACACACACACACACACACACACACACACACACACACAGUCUCCCCAAUCCCCCCUUCACUGUUGAUUGGCUGGCUACUUGAGGUAGCAGGAGGGGACAUGUUUAAGUUGUUUACUUGUUUUGUUGUUGUUUUGUUCCUGCUCUCUUGCUGAGCCGGAGACUCGGAUGAGUUUGUGGCAUGGUGAAUUCAAAUCAAAACCGCUCACCAUGGUGCAGCACAAAUCUUCGGAGAAAAUCAAGACAUUCGAAUUCAUUUUAUUACAACAUGGGACACCGGUUUGGGCUCUGUGUGUGUCUGCGCAUGUGGGUCUGCGUGGGGUUGUGUGCGUAUAAUGAAUAGUGAUGGAAGUAUGCAUCAGUUUGCAAAUUCUCCACACUUUCCAAGAUGUAGCUGUCGACACAAGUACACACACACACACACACACACACAGAUCCUUCGCUUUAUUCACAGAGCACCCCUCCUCGAGACGAUGAUCUAUAAGAGGGUUUUGAGAAAUGAAGGGAUAGAUGAAGCAGAGGGACGGAAAGACAGAGACGGAGGGAGCACGAGAGCGAGAUAGAGUGAACUUCAGCAGCUCGGCACACAGGGAGAUGUGGCGUCUGCUCUAAAUUGAAUAAUUUGAGGAGUGGUGUGAGAGAAAG